CGAAAGUCUGACGGAGCAACGCCGCGUGAGUGAUGAAAGUUUUCGGAUCGUAAAGCUCUGUUGUUAGGGAAGAACAAGUACCGUUCGAAUAGGGCGGUACCUUGACGGUACCUAACCAGAAAGCCACGGCUAACUACGUGCCAGCAGCCGCGGUAAUACGUAGGUGGCAAGCGUUGUCCGGAAUUAUUGGGCGUAAAGGGCUCGCAGGCGGUUUCUUAAGUCUGAUGUGAAAGCCCCCGGCUCAACCGGGGAGGGUCAUUGGAAACUGGGGAACUUGAGUGCAGAAGAGGAGAGUGGAAUUCCACGUGUAGCGGUGAAAUGCGUAGAGAUGUGGAGGAACACAGUGGCGAGGCGACUCUCUGGUCUGUAACUGACGCUGAGGAGCGAAAGCGUGGGGAGCGAACAGGAUUAGAUACCUGGAGUCCACGCCGUAAACGAUGAGUGCUAAGUGUUAGGGGGUUCCGCCCCUUAGUGCUGCAGCUAACGCAUAAGCACUCCGCCUGGGGAGACGGUCGCAAGACUGAAACUCAAAGGAAUUGACGGGGGCCCGCACAAGCGGUGGAGCAUGUGGUUUAAUUCGAAGCAACGCGAAGAACCUUACCAGGUCUUGACAUCCUCUGACAAUCCUAGAGAUAGGACGUCCCCUUCGGGGGCAGAGUGACAGGUGGUGCAUGGUUGUCGUCAGCUCGUGUCGUGAGAUGUUGGGUUAAGUCCCGCAACGAGCGCAACCCUUGAUCUUAGUUGCCAGCAUUCAGUUGGGCACUCUAAGGUGACUGCCGGUGACAAACCGGAGGAAGGUGGGGAUGACGUCAAAUCAUCAUGCCCCUUAUGACCUGGGCUACACACGUGCUAC
rnacentral:rRNA from 1 species